GAGGCCCAGGGGGCGGGGACUUCUGCCAUUUCCGGCCGGUCCUCGCGUCUCUUCCGGGAAGUCGGCAGGCUCCACUCCCAGGACGGGAGGGAGGUUUGGCCUGCACUGGGACGCUCGGCAAAGGUCGGAACUGUCAGCUGCCUCUGGGAACAGCUGGUCUGCAGGGGGUGCUGUGCGUGUUGGGGGAAACCCGAGGGGCAGAUCAAGGCCUUGGAGGGCCGUCUUUCUUCGAGCUGAGUUUCCUGCGGGUGUGCCCCAGAAAGACACCAUUGGAAACGCUGGUUAUUUUACCAAGGCUUUGACAGGAAUGUCAGAUUUGGACAGACCUGCAUAGACUCAGAACUAACCAGACAGCUUGGAGGAACUGAGGUGGACUUUAUGGAGCCAAUCAACCCCCCCGGAAAUACUGGCCCGAUGCCUGGCUGACAGAGUUCCCAGCAGCCUUACCAGAUCCACGGCACCUAGAUGCCUUCACUGCCGUAAGUUCAAGCUGACAGAUGGUCCUGUCUGCUGAAGGAGACUCCCAUAUGUUAUCAACUCUAGCCACAGCUGCCUCUGCCUUUGGUAAGUCCUACACGUACGUGCCCACCUGACCAAUGUUGACCCAUAGGUAGGGACCUCGCUGCCCCCCUAUUUAGCCGAGAAGUUACGGAAGGCCUUCCGCUUUUAGCAACCUUAUAGAUUGAAGGGUCAACACUGUUUAGAGGGGAGUGGUGAGGAAAGCAAAGGCAAGAGAAAUGUAGGUAAAAUUAAGUGUCCUUACAACGUGCAGCCCAUUGACAGAUACUUGAGACAGGCAGAAUAGGACAUUUCUCCGGGAACUGACAGCUGCCUUAUGGUUAAUGCUUUGCUAGAGGCAAAAGGCAGCCUUAGCUUGACAUUAGCCAGACCUCCAGGAUCCUGUCAGUCUUCUUUAACAUGUGAAAACGCCUUCGGAGACUUCCUUUAUCUCUACCCUCCCCUCCACCAAGAUAUGUGGUGGCAACCAUCCUUGAAACAUAGGCCCCCCGAUACACAUCUGAAGGGUCUCGGGAUUAAUGUUUUACUAGACAGUAGUCAGUAACCUUCUCUUACGAGCAGCUAGCCCCUCAAGGUCCUGGAAGCCUUGCUUCCAAAUUCCUUUGAGGCUUCUGCUAUUCCUAACCCCAACUAACCAAAAAGUAUGUAACCAGUCUCUUCUCACAAUCCCAGCGCAGCUCUUUUCGACCACGGGUCCUGCCCCCUGUGCUUCAGUAAAAACACCUUUUUGCGGUGAAAAUGUCUCAAGAAUUCUUUCCUGACUUUUUGCUCUCAGACCCCACAUCACAUCAGUUUAAUACUUACGGCUCUUUUCAUAAGAUUUCUCUGGUGUUUUUCAUUCACUUCAAUAUUAACUGGGGUGAGAUGUACAGAGAGUCAUGAGUCCCUCUGCGAAAGUAGCCACCAGGGCGUAUUUGAUCCUUAUCAGAACAAGGCAGACUAUGGGUCAGCCUUCUAGUGAACAUUUUUCUGAUUCUGUCCUUCAUCAUUUCCUCCCUGACCAAUCUUCGGUCCUUAAAUCUUUAAGGUUAUUGAAAGGUGAAGUGCUCAUCUUCUGUAACUUCUUCAAACUGACAGGUGGCGGGAGGAAGAGGAAGGA